CUUCCCGUUUGACUACCACUCCUUCAGUUUACAGAUUGAGUGGCUAUGCUUAUGGGAUAGAGAAAAUACUGCCAAGAUCUGAAGGAGAAGAUUGACAAUAUCUUUUUCCUAUAUGAAAUGGCAGAACACAGAAUG
ensembl:snoRNA